rnacentral:lncRNA from 1 species
AGGUUCGGGACCUACCUCAAUAGCUUUUGCUGCUUGUUCUUUUGUUUCAAAUUCUACAAAGGCAAAUCCCUUUGGAUCUCCAGUAGAUUUAUAAUGUGGUAUACUUAUAUAAACAACAUUGCCACAUUUCCCAAAUACUCUUUCAAUCCAGCUGUGAUUAACAUUUUUGGGAAGUAAUUCCUAUAAGUGAGAAGCAAUAUUAAAAUAGAAGUACUUUUUCAGGGUCAAUAAAUUUUUACUU